UACGUAGGGGGCAAGCGUUGUCCGGAAUUAUUGGGCGUAAAGAGCGUGUAGGCGGCCAGAUGAGUCCGCUGUGAAAUCUCGAGGCUCAACUUCGAGCUGUCGGUGGAAACUAUCUGGCUAGAGUCCGGAAGAGGAGAAUGGAAUUCCUGGUGUAGCGGUGAAAUGCGUAGAUAUCUGGAGGAACACCGGUGGCGAAGGCGGCAUCCUGGACCAACACUGACACUGAGGAGCGAAAGCCAGGGAGCAAACGGG
rnacentral:rRNA from 1 species